CCCGGCGACCGGCGCACGGGUGAGUAACGCGUAUGCAACUUACCUAUCAGAGGGGGAUAACCCGGCGAAAGUCGGACUAAUACCGCAUGAAGCAGGGGCCCCGCAUGGGGAUAUUUGCUAAAGAUUCAUCGCUGAUAGAUAGGCAUGCGUUCCAUUAGGCAGUUGGCGGGGUAACGGCCCACCAAACCGACGAUGGAUAGGGGUUCUGAGAGGAAGGUCCCCCACAUUGGUACUGAGACACGGACCAAACUCCUACGGAAGGCAGCAG
rnacentral:rRNA from 1 species